GAUGAACGCUAGCGAUAGGCUUAACACAUGCAAGUCGAGGGGCAGCACAAGGUAGCUUGCUAUCUGGGUGGCGACCGGCGCACGGGUGCGUAACGCGUAUGCAACUUGCCCUAUACAGGAGGAUAACCCGUCGAAAGACGGACUAAUACUGCGUAUGCUCACAACUUGGCAUCAAGUGGUGAGGAAAGAAAUUCGGUAUAGGAUAGGCAUGCGUCCCAUUAGCUUGUUGGUGAGGUAACGGCUCACCAAGGCAACGAUGGGUAGGGGAACUGAGAGGUUUAUCCCCCACACUGGUACUGAGACACGGACCAGACUCCUACGGGAGGCAGCAGUGAGGAAUAUUGAUCAAUGGGCGCGAGCCUGAACCAGCCAAGUCGCGUGAAGGAUGACUGUCUUAUGGAUUGUAAACUUCUUUUAUACGGGAAUAACAAGAGUCACGUGUGACUCCCUGCAUGUACCGUAUGAAUAAGCAUCGGCUAACUCCGUG
rnacentral:rRNA from 1 species